rnacentral:rRNA from 1 species
ACUCCUACGGGAGGCAGCAGUGGGGAAUAUUGCGCAAUGGGCGAAAGCCUGACGCAGCGACGCCGCGUGGGGGAUGAAGGUUUUCGGAUUGUAAACCCCUUUCGAUCGGAAAGAAUAUCCUCCGGGUAAAUAAUCCGGAGGAUUGACGGUACCGAGAGAAGAAGCCACGGCUAACUCUGUGCCAGCAGCCGCGGUAAGACAGAGGUGGCAAGCGUUGUUCGGAUUUAUUGGGCGUGAAGAGCGUGUAGGCGGUUUGUUAAGUCUGAUGUGAAAGCCCUGGGCUCAACCCAGGAAGUGCAUUGGAAACUGUCAGACUUGAAUACGGGAGAGGGCAGUGGAAUUCCUAGUGUAGGAGUGAAAUCCGUAGAUAUUAGGAGGAACACCGGUGGCGAAGGCGGCUGCCUGGACCGAUAUUGACGCUGAGACGCGAAAGCGUGGGUAGCAAACAGGAUUAGAUACCCUGGUAGUCCACGCCGUAAACGAUGAGAACUAGGUGUUGCGGGUAUUGACCCCUGCAGUGCCGCAGCUAACGCAUUAAGUUCUCCGCCUGGGAAGUACGGUCGCAAGACUAAAACUCAAAUGAAUUGACGG